rnacentral:rRNA from 1 species
GACGAACGCUGGCGGCAUGCUUAACACAUGCAAGUCGAACGGAAAGGCCCUGCUUUUGUGGGGUGCUCGAGUGGCGAACGGGUGAGUAACACGUGAGUAACCUGCCCUUGACUUUGGGAUAACUUCAGGAAACUGGGGCUAAUACCGGAUAGGAGCUCCUGCUGCAUGGUGGGGGUUGGAAAGUUUCGGCGGUUGGGGAUGGACUCGCGGCUUAUCAGCUUGUUGGUGUGGUAGUGGCUUACCAAGGCUUUGACGGGUAGCCGGCCUGAGAGGGUGACCGGCCACAUUGGGACUGAGAUACGGCCCAGACUCCUACGGGAGGCAGCAGUGGGGAAUAUUGCACAAUGGGCGGAAGCCUGAUGCAGCAACGCCGCGUGCGGGAUGACGGCCUUCGGGUUGUAAACCGCUUUCGCCUGUGACGAAGCGUGAGUGACGGUAAUGGGUAAAGAAGCACCGGCUAACUACGUG